GUCAGUUUGUCAUCAUUUUUAUCUAGACAUAGGAUAGGUUGUGUGAAAAUAUUACUGAUGUUUAACGUUAAAAAUGGACCAAAAGAUUAAUGCUAAACAACAUUUGACAUGUUUGAACGAACAUAAAUAGAUUAUUUACUAGUUUCUUUUAGCUUUUCGGCGUGAUUUUACCAGCCCCACACCACGUUUUGUGGGAGCAUAAUGAACGCUAAGUACUUGGUGUUAUUUGGACAUAAAUUAUGAACUUUGUCAAAAGAAACCACAUUUGUUCCGGACCUGGAAUGCCUUCCGGACCUGGGAUCCUGCCUUCUGAUGGAGAUAAUCAAAGCCUUGUUAGCAAUCCCGGCUCGGGGUUCAUUGCUAACCUGUAGCCCCAACAGGUUAAUGAAGUAGAAGUCCUGGGAGUGCAUUCUGACGAAGAACACCAAAGAGGACCUGAGCCCUAGGACCAUGCCUCAGGACUACCUGGCCUGAUGACUCCUUGCUGUCCCCAGUCCACCUGGCCGUGCUGCUGCUCAAGUUUCAACUGUUCUGCCUGCGGCUAUGGAACCCUGACCUGUUCACCGGACGUGCUACCUGUCCCAGACCUGCUGUUUUCAACUCUCUAGAGACAGCAGGAGCGGUAGAGAUACUCUGAAUGAUCGGCUAUGAAAAGCCAACUGACAUUUACUCCUGAGGUGCUGACCUGUUGCACCCUCGACAACCAAUGUGAUUAUUAUUAUUUGACCCUGCUGGUCAUCUAUGAACAUUUGAACAUCUUGGCCAUGUUCUGUUAUAAUCUCCACGGCACAGCCAGAAGAGGACUGGCCACCCCUCAUAGCCUGUUUCCUCUCUAGGUUUCUUCCCAGGUUCUGGCCUUUCUAGGGAGUUUUUCCUAGCCACCAUGCUUCUACACCUGCAUUGCUUGCUCUUUGGGGUUUUAGGCUGGGUUUCUGUACAGCACUUUGUGACAUCAGCUCAUGUAAGAAGGGCUUUAUAAAUACAUUUGAUUGAUUGAUUACCAUGUAUGUCAUUACCCUGGAUAGCUCCAAGUAGUGUCAUUACCCUGGAUAGCUCCAAUACGUUUCAGUACCCUGGAUAGCUCCAGUACGUUUCAGUACCAUGGAUAGCUCCAAUACGUUUCAGUACCCUGGAUAGCUCCAAGUAGAGUCAUUACCCUGGACAGCUCCAAGUAGUGUCAAUACCCUGGAUAGCUCCAAGUAUCGUCAUUACCCUGGAUAGCUCCAAGUAUUGUCAUUACCCUGGAUAGCUCCAAGUAUUGUCAUUACCCUGGAUAGCUCCAAUAAGUUUCAUUACCCUGGACAGCUCCAAGUAGUGACAUUACCCUGGAUAGCUCCAAGUAGUGACAUUACCCUGGAUAGAUCCAAGAAGUUUCAUUUCCCUGGACAGCUCCCUAAGUAGUGUCAGUACACAAAUCAAAUCUAAUCAAAUGUUCUUUGUCACAUGCACCAAAUACAACAGGUGUAGACCUUACAGUGGAAUGCUUACUUAUGAACCCUUAAUCAACAAUGCAGUUUUAAGAAAAAUACCUACAAAAAUAAGAAAUAAAAGUAACAAAAAAAUUAAAGAGCAGCAGUAAAAUAACAAUAGCGAGGCUAUAUACAGGGGGUACCAUUACAGAAUCAAUGUGUGGGGGCACCGGUUAGUUGAGAUAAUUGAGGUAAUAUAAACAUGUAGUAGAAUUUUUAAAGUGACUAUGCAUAGAUACUAAACAAAAUGGCAGCAGCGAAAAAGAGGGUGGGGGUGGGGGAGCAAUGCAAAUAGUCUGGGUAGCCAUUUGAUUAGAUGUUCAGGAGUCUUAUGGCUUUGGGGUAGAAGAUGUUUAGAAGCCUCUUGGACCUAGACUUGGCGCUCUGGUACCACCUGCCAUGCGGUAGCAGACAGGACAGUCAAUGACUAGGGUGGCUGGAGUCUUUGACAGUUUUUAGGGUUUUCUUUGACACCACCUGGAAUAGAGUUCCUGGAUGGCAGGAAGCUUGGCCCCAGUGAUGUACUGGGCCAUACGCACUACCCUCUGUAGUGCCUUGCGGUUGUAAGCCGAGCAGUUGCCAUACUAGGCAGUGAUGCAAGCAGUCAGGAUGCUCUCGAUGGUGCAGCUGUAGGACCUUUGAGGAUCUGAGGACCCAUGCCAAAUCUUUUCAGUCUCCUGAGGGGGAAUAGGUUUUGUCAUGCCCUCUUCAUGACUGUCUUGGUGUGCAUGGACCAGGUUAGUUUGUUGGUGAUGUAGGCACCAAGGUUCUUGAAGCUCUCAACCUGCUCCGCUACAGUCCCGUCAAUGAGAAUGGGGGCGUUCUCGGUCCUCCUUUUCCUGUAGUCCACAAUCAUCUCCUUUGUCUUGAUCACAUUGAGGGAGAGGUUGUUAUACUGGCACCACACAGCCAGGUCUCUAACCUCCUUCCUAUAGGCUGUCUCAUCGUUGUCGGUGAUCAGGCCUCCCACUGUUUCCUCCGGAAACUUAAUGAUGGUGUUGGAGUCCUUCCUGGCCAUGCAGUCAUGAGUGAACAGGGAGUACAGGAGUGGCUGAGCACGCACCACUGAGGGGCCCCCGUGUUGAGGAUCAGCAUGGCGGAUAUGUUGUUACCUACCCUUACCACCUGGGGGCGUCCCGUCAGGAAGUCCAGGAUCCAGUUGCAGAGGGAUGUGUUUAGUCCCAUUGUCCUUAGCUUAGUGAUGAGUUUUGAGGGCACUAUGGUUUUGAACUAGUCAAUGAAUAGAAUUCUCACAUAAGUGUUACUUUUGUCCAGGUGUGGAGGGUAGUGUGGAGUGCAAUAGAGAUUGCAUCAUCUGUGGAUCUGUUUGGGUGAUAUGCAAAUUGGAGUGGGUCUAGGGUUUCCGGGAUAAUGGUGUUGAUGUGAGCCAUGACCAGCCUUGCAAAGCACUUCAUGGCUACAGACAUGAGUGCUACGGAUUGGUAGUCAUUUAGGCAGGUUACCUUCGUGUUCUUGGGCACAGGGACUAUGGUAGUCUGCUUGAAACAUGUUGGUAUUACAGACUCAGACAUGGAGAGGAUGAACAUUUCAGUGAAGAUACUUGCCAGUUGGUCAGUGCAUUCCCGGAGUACAUGUCCUCGUAAUCCGUCUGGCCCUGCGGCCUUGUGAAUGUUGACCUGUUUAAAGAUCUUACUCACAUCGGCUAUGGAGAGCGUGAUCACACAUUCAUACGGAACAGCUGAUGCUCUCACGAAUGUUUCAGUGCUAAUUGCCUUGAUGCGAGCAUGGAAGAAAUUUGGCUUGUCUUUUCGGCUUGUGUCACUGAGCAACUGUAUUGACUCAUUGCCUGUUUGAUGGUUCGUCGGAGGGCAUAGUGGGAUUUGUUUUUAUAUAUAUAUAUAUAUAUAUAUAUAUAUAUAUAUAUAUAUAUAUACUUAUUGAUGAAGCCAGUGACUGAUGUGGUGUACUCCUCAAUGCCAUCGGAAGAAUCCCGGAACAUAUUCCAAUCUAUGCUAGCAAAACAGUCCUGCAGUUUAGCAUCUGCCUCAUCUGACCACUUUUUUAUUGACAUAGUCACUGGUGCUUCCUGCUUUAGUUUUUGCUUGUAAUCAGGAAUCAGGAGGAUAGAAUUAUGGUCAGAUUUCCCAAAUGGAGGGCGAGAGAGAUCUUUGUACGCGUCUCUGUGUGGAGUAAAGGUGGUCUUGAGUUUUUUUCCCUCUGGUUGCACAUUUAAUAUGCUGGUAGAAAUUAGGUAAAACGGAUGUAAGUUUCCCUGCAUUAAAGUCCCCGGCCUCUUGGAGCAUCGCCUCUGGAUGAGUGUUUUCUUUUUUGCUUGUGGCCAUUGAUUGUGGUGGUAAAUAGACAGCUCCGAAGAAUAAUUCACUUUGUUACAGAUGGCAAAGGCAGAUUAGCCACUCGUCGAGCGAAUCCUUACAAGGCACCCCGAUCUCCUUCCGCAAUAUCUCCGUCUCUUCCUCCUGCGAAUGACGGGGAUGAGGGCCUUGUCUGGAGUCUGGAGUAUAUCCCUCUCGUCCGACUCAUUAAAGAAAAAUAAUUUGUCCAGUUCAAGGUGAGUAAUCGCUGUUCUGAUGUCCUGAAGCUCUUUAUGGUCAUAAGAGAUGGUAGCAGCAACAUUAUGUACGGUUGGUUAAGAACCCAUAAAACGGCAGCCAUCCCCUCUGGUGGCAUCUUCACAGUACGUUGGAUAGCUCCCUAAUCACUCCAAGUAGUUGCAGUGCCCUGGAUAUCUCCCGGACAUUUCAGUGCUUUGGAAGAUUGCCAUUCACAUCCAGCCAUUUCAGUACCUUGGAUAGUUCUCUAUUCACUCCCAGUCAUUUCAGCACCAUUUACAAAAGAGUAUCUCUCAAAAACUCACUCUCAGCACGUGACUGGGCCUGAUGUCUUCCAUAACUUCACAGUCACACUAACUCUCCACUCUCAUGUUCUUUUCAUGUUGCCAUAAUAAUGAAUGAUGGGACUGAUGUUUAGCUUGAAUUAUUGAAUACCGUGGUUUCCAACCACUCACUGUACGAUGGAAAGGACAUCUGAGUUCAAGUGACUUUGUAGUGGUACAAAACCAGUUUUCUGGUUAUUUUCUAAACUCAACCAAUUGAACGCAAUUGAUGCAAAUACCCAAAUGUCAGCUUUCAUCUACCCAUUACAUCAGAGAGGUAGAUAUUGUGUUCAGAGUUUAGUUUUAGAUUGAUAUUUCAACACUAUCUGGGUUCACUCUAUGUACCAUUCCAAAAGGUGUGAAAUAGAAUCCUGCCAACUGAAACUGUGAGGACUGGCAAUUAUAUGGUUUGAGAUUUAGGUAAGGAAGGCUAUUUUGUGACUUUUCUACAAUGCCUUAUUUUCUCUAAGCUACUGGAGGCCUUAAUGCUCAUGUUGUGUUCUUUGUAACUAUGACAACAAUUGUUCAUAUGAUGUAAAAACAUUGCUAACUUAAAUAGAACAGGAAUAGAACGUCCCCAUCCCAAACACCACAAGGCAGGACUAAUGGACUACUGAAUGGCAGGGCCACUCUCCUAUUAAUAACAUGGUUAAAUCCAUAUCACUCAUGAGUUUCCUAUUAACUUUUUAGUUGUUAGCAUUAGAUGUGCUGCCAAACCAUUGGUUUAGAGCAGGGCUGUUCAAUUCUGGUACUGGAGGGCCAAAACACUUUGUGUUUUCAUCCUCUGGAUCAUUCUGGAUAAUAUUGUGCAUAGACAUUUGAUAUGUUACUUUCCAUGUUUCUUCCCAAGAAUUAUGUAGACUAUUAUUCUUCACAAUUAAAAUCCAAGCCCUUUAUUCAUUGAUAUGUUUUCCUUGUCUUCAUGAACUAAUUUACGCAAACAUGACUCCAUUAGGUUAAUCCCGGGUGAUAAAACAUUAACACAGAGGAAAACGCAUUUUUGAAUUCUCCGGCUUCCCCUUCUGAGUAAGAGGUACCCUGGGAGCCUGAAGUUUAAGUGUUUCUUAGAAGGAGGAGCGGAAGGCACACUGGUUUAACAUUAUGCACACGAGAGCAGAAUGUGUUAGAGGCAGGAAUACAUAUUUGACAGUGAGUGAGGAAAGUGGUGCACUUCAGAGGCGAUGGUGAUGCACUGAGCAACAACAGGUUGUGAGAGCGUUGGAGUGGAAAUACUCCUACAAUAGCCAUUGCUCUGUUGUUAAGGGAUGUAAAAACACUGUUUCACUUCAGCACGUGACAUGUAGUGGUUAGAAUGUGUAUUUCAUAUAGAGGCCAAACUCUAUUACUCGCUGUCAAGUUAUAAUCAAAAUGGUGCAGUUACGGGAUGAUUUGCCGUUUAAUUGUCAUGACAAUUUCCAACCAUCCACUAGGGGCAAUGCUAGUGCCUGUUACCAUCCAAUAUAGGCUGAUGGGGGUACGGAUUGGCUAAAACUGCCAGCCAUGGCUCCGAGCAUCACACGUUCAAUCCCAAUGCUACUCGUUUCGUCAUUUUAAUUUUUCUGUUUCAACCCUAUAACAAACCUUAAACCUAACCUUAACCACAGAAUGAAUUUCUAAGCUUAUGAUGCUUGUAUAACCUUUUCCAUCAAAGGCCAAUAAAAUAAUUACGCUCUUGAUAAACUCAAUUGAUGGACUUUGCAAAACAACACACUGUGUUAUAACAAAUGUUAGUUCCUUGUAGAAAAGUCUAUGAAGCUCCAGUAUAACAACAAAGACAAGUCAUGUUAAUUCAAUAGUCGUAGCAAGAUAUCACAAGUAAGCAUCAUCGUGGCAAUUAGCGGCCGUUGUGAAAGCGCUCUGUGACCAAGUGAGGAUUCUAAUUACCUGAUCAUGACACAAUUAGAAAGAAAAACAAUAAAUUCUCACAAAGCUCCCAGCAAAUAAUUACUGAUCCUGGAUAUAAAUUAGUUUUCUUCUUGUUAAAGCUUUUCCAGGUUGAACGGCCGACAAAUUGUUUUGACAAGGCAGAGAAGGAGAGAAGCGAUCAGGACAGAGAGAUUACUAGGAGCUGACUAGGCUAUAGGUGGUCAAGCUGAAGGCAGGCCUUUCAUAUCAACACAGAGACUACAAAUGUGCUUUGAAGGAGAAUAUAGUGUGGAGGGGUCUUGAACCAGUGAGUGACCCACAAUUGUCUCAUCAAAAGUCCACAAUUAACUCGAUGCAUAUGAAACAAUAACUGUUUGAAGAGUCUGAUUGUCUAUUGUGGUCUAUUGUAGGUGUCACGUUCUGACCAGUAAAGGGGUUAUUUGUUAUUACUAGGUUGGUUAGGACGUGGCAGGGGGUUUUUGUUUUAUGUGGUUUGGGGUUUGUUGGGUUAUGUUAUUAUGUAAGAGGGGCGUUUGUUUAGAGUGUUCCGGGGUUUUUGGGCUAUGUUCUUGUUAGUUUAUUUCUAUGUUAGUUCUAGUCUUUCUAUGUCUAUGUUUAGUUAAUGGGGUUGACCUUCAAUUGGAAGCAGCUGCUCCUCGUUGCUUCUAAUUGAAGGUCUUAUUUAAGAGGGGUGGUUUUUCUAUGGUAUUUGUGGGUAGUUGUCUCCUGUUUAGUGUCUGAGCACCUGAUAGGACUGUUAGUGUCGUUCAUUUGUUUUGUAUACGUGAUUUGUUUGUUUUUCCUUCUUCGCAUUAAAAAGAAGAUGAGUAUACACGUU
rnacentral:lncRNA from 1 species